AAAGUUUUCGCGCCUGCUGCGCCCCGUAGGGCCCCCCGUGCCCCCGCCCCGCCCGCCGCGCGCGGCGGGCGGGGGGGGGGCACGGGGGGCCCUACGGGGCGCAGCAGGCGCGAAAACUUUACAAUGCGGGAAACCGUGAUAAGGGAACUCCGAGUGUCCGUAAAUGCGGACUGUCCGUAUGUUUAAAAAGCAUGCGAAGAAAGGGCCGGGCAAGACCGGUGCCAGCCGCCGCGGUAAUACCGGCGGCUCGAGUGGUGGCCACUAUUACUGGGCUUAAAGCGUUCGUAGCUGGGUCGUUAAGUCUCUUGGGAAAUCUACCGGCUUAACCGAUAGGC
rnacentral:rRNA from 1 species